rnacentral:lncRNA from 1 species
ACUGAAGUUUCCUCGACGUUAUUGUCGUCGAGGAAACUACCACACAGCCAUGGUUAGUAGGAGAAACAAAAACUCCUUUUUUAACCUCAUUUUUAUACAUCUCCAUGUAUAAAUUCCUAGCUGUUUCUUCAUACUGCUUUCCAUGCCUCACUGCAUCAUUUUCAAUUUUUUUAUUUAUUACCAUUUCUUCAACUAAUGCAUGUACACUCUGUUCUUCUGUGAGAAACGGCAUCCACCUGGGUGGCAUUUGGUCCUGGGUUAAAACAAUCUGACUAUUAUAAAAAUGACACAAUUCAGCAUCCAUCAUGAACUCACUCUGUAGGUCAGAUUAUUUUCUAAGUAUAAAAAAAAGUUUUCCACACAUAUAUUACACUGUUCUUUUAAAUGGUUAAUCCACUAUUUUGAAAAAUAUCAUUCAGAUAUAAUUCGACUGCUAAGUCCUCCUUAUUUUUGUUUUUCAUCUCCAAUAUUGUUUUCAAGUGAGAAGGAUUUUUUAAGGAGGCAUCCUUUUAUCACAUUUUCGCUUCGAGGAGUAAACAUCUCUUGGAAACUCGGUACCUUCGAUUUUUCUUUGGCCAUCGUUUUGUCACCUGGUUUAUCCCAUCGUUGUUCACGGUCUGUCUUUGUAGUACUUGUACCAUUAUUUACAAAGUGCACUAACCCAGCAAUGUGUUUGCAUUUCCCACUUUUGUUACAUCACAUGUACACAACCCUUUGGAGACAUUUCUAUUAAGAUCAAGCUGCAAAAUGAUUUUUACUUUAGCGACAAUUACCGAGAAUUGUAAAUAAAAUGACUUUUACCGAGAAUUAUAACGCGACAACUCGCGUUCUCAUACGCCGCUCCUUGCGGUAUGAUAACCAACCUCGGAUCAAAAACUACGAAUUCAGUAAACCCGAACAACUCAAAAUUGUUCCUUAUGAUGUCGACUUCUUCGCGGAAGAAAACAGCUUCAAAGUCGUCAAACAGUGGCCUCAAUGCUCCAAUUCACGAGGAUCAAAUCGCUGAAUAUCACCACCAUCAAAGCUAUAAUUAAACAAAUUUUUUGCAAUCUUGUUCGACUCAAUUGAUUCAACUACUAACUUCAUACACUGCCGAGCGGUAUAAGCUUUGAAGUUCUGCGAAUGUGACGCUCUCAGCUAUAGGCUGUCUAAGCACGCGCUCCUGCGGAGCGAAAACCGCAAGAAUGAAAAAACAUUUGUUUCAUUUUUCUGGGGAGUAAUUUUAAAUCAAACCGAUUUUAGUUUUGUUUUUCUAUGUAAACGAUAUUGAGAUUGCAAAAACCUCUUCUUAUCGAACAUAAAACUUUACGACACUUAAUUAAAUGUUUCAAACCAGAAAUCAAAAUAUUAUGCUGUUUAUUAUACUGCAACUUGUAAUCAGCUGCAUUUAAACUCUUAAAGACUUAAACAUUUAAAUUUAAUUUCAGAACAAUUAGAGGUUAUACCUUUCAACUUUCAAUGCGAAACUCAGAUUGAUGUAAUAGCUACAUGCUACAUCAUGUAACAAGGGGAAUACCCGAAUUGCAAACCCUCACAUUACUGACAUCUGGAUGGGAAUAGUUAAUAUUAAUUAUACUAGUUGUUAAUAAUAUAAAUUUUUGGAUGAAAUACAAAUCGCAUUAAAAAAAUCCGCAUAAAAAGAGACCUUACUGUACAUAAAAGAGGUGUUCAACAUCAAAUAAAAAUACCUAAAGCUUACCUGUCCUGUACAGAUAUCUUUUUACAGGAUACAACAACCACGUGCUAAGAUUAAGUUUUUCGUUUCGAGUUAAUGCUCGAUUGAGCAAUAAUUGUCUUUCAUAUGACUUGUUUUCUGUCUGGUGCAAACCACUGUUCAAUAACGGUACUGACGCUGCCAUCGGCAAACUCCACUACGACAUAGUUACAAAUGGCCAUUUUAAAUGAAAAUCGACUAAAAGAUGAAAGAUGAAGUAGUUUUCAAUCCUAAUAGCAAUAUUAUUAAUAUUUAAAAAUGAAAAUCGACUAGUUCACUGCUCCUCCCGCAAACGCAAAUUAACCCACCAAAUUAACGUUCCCGAAGAAAACCGUUAAAAAUUAAUGCACUUGUCAAUGUAUCAUAAUCAGUCAUGCCAAUCUUGCAAGUGUAUUUAUUCUGCCAACCCACGUCAGAAUAAUUUAUAUCGGCAUUUCUACAACUACAAGACUACAACAAAAUACUGAAUAAUUAUUAUUUUGAAACGCCGUAUAUACUUAGAUUAUUACUAUAUUUUCGCCGACUUAAAUAGAUUUCUUUUCGUUGAAAAUAAAACUUUUAAAGGUAAUGAAUAGCAUGAAAUGAAAACGUUUUUUUAAACAUAUUUUAACGUCAUUAAUCUUACCAAUCAAAAUCACCUACAAAAGACGUCUAUACGACGUAAUGUUUAAACACGUGUAUAUAUUCAACCAAAAACUGAAGUGUCUUCGACGUUAUUGACGUCACUUGGUUGUCUGGGAUGUAACCACAUUUCGGCUGUGGUAUUCAGUAUUUGCAUGACUCUUCAGCAAUUCGGUGGCCUCUUUAUAAGAAGUCAAUGGUUCAACAAUCAACUUCCCCAAUAUAACAUUAUUAUUACCACCUUCUCUACAACCAAACAUAACACAGUACUUGCAUAGACCACCAUGUAAUUGUUUGCUGUAAACUAGCCAUUCAUGUGUUUGUAACCAGCUUUGCUGAAAAGAGCGGUUUUUAGAGAGGCAUACACAGUGGUACACGACAAUUAGACCGAAAACAGUAGACCGAAACUCAUUGUACCGAAAAACACUUUACACUACCUGGAAACCUCACUAGACCGAAAUGGUACAUACAUUAAAAAAGAUUCCAGUAAAUUAUGCUAAUAUUUUGAAGCACUGCAGAGAAAACAGAGUUUGAACGAACUUAGAAUAUUUAGCUGGCGAACAACCACCUACGAGCCACAAAAAAAUACAAAGAUUCUGCUGACAGAUUAAAACGCCUCGUCCGUAACUUUGAUGUUCAUGGGAACAUGCUUAAUUACUUAAGGAAGAUUGCACAUAACUUUAAUUUUUAGUAUUGUGCAUAGUAAAUAAAAAAAAA